rnacentral:rRNA from 1 species
GACGAACGCUGGCGGCGUGCCUAAUACAUGCAAGUCGAACGCUUUUUCUUUCACCGGAGCUUGCUCCACCGAAAGAAAAAGAGUGGCGAACGGGUGAGUAACACGUGGGUAACCUGCCCAUCAGAAGGUGAUAACACUUGGAAACAGCUGCUAAUACCGUAUAACACUAUUUUCCGCAUGGAAGAAAGUUGAAAGGCGCUUUUGCGUAACUGCUGGAUCGACCUGCGGUGCAUUAGCUAGUUGGUGGGGUAAGGGCUCACCAAGGCAACGAUGCAUAGCCGACCUGGGAGGGUGAUCGGCCACACUGGGACCGAGACACGGCCCAGACUCCUACGGGAGGCAGCAGUAGGGAAUCUUCAGCAAUGGACGAAAGUCUGACCGAGCAACGCCGCGUGAGUGAAGAAGGUUUUCGGAUCGUAAAACUCUGUUGUUAGAGAAGAACAAGGAUGAGAGUAGAACGUUCAUCCCUUGACGGUAUCUAACCAGAAAGCCACGGCUAACUACGUGCCAGCCGCCGCCGUAA